CAGUCGCCACGGGAACACGUAGGGUGCAAGCGUUAAUCGGAAUUACUGGGCGUAAAGCGUGCGCAGGCGGUUAUAUAAGACAGAUGUGAAAUCCCCGGGCUCAACCUGGGAACUGCAUUUGUGACUGUAUAGCUAGAGUACGGCAGAGGGGGAUGGAAUUCCGCGUGUAGCAGUGAAAUGCGUAGAUAUGCGGAGGAACACCGAUGGCGAAGGCAAUCCCCUGGGCCUGUACUGACGCUCAUGCACGAAAGCGUGGGGAGCAAACAGGAUUAGAUACCCCAGUAGUCCCUGUCUCUUACCC
rnacentral:rRNA from 1 species